AAGCUGCGCGCUCCCGUGAGAGAUGAGAAAGCGCUUCAGCUCAGCGUCCAACUCCGAGCUUCUCCAAACCUGUUGCCUUCUUCACUUCUUUAUUAUUGGUGUUAUUAUGGACAUUUAACCCCCACAGGACGAGCGGAUACACCAGCAUCCGCCCUCCUGUGCACCUGUGUGACGGUAAAAUCUGUGUGAAUAACAGCAUCGAGCAGAAGAAGAGAAAUGAUGUAAAGAGGAAUAAAUGAGAGAAGGAGCAACAGCAGCGGAAACCUGCCGCCUGUCGGCUUUGAUGUUUCACACAAAACUAAAGUACAAGAACGGAAACGACACCAGGAGCCGAAACGGAAUGAAUUUUAAUACCACACACACACACACACACACACACACACACACACACACACACACACACACACACACACACACACACACACACAGGUUGGGCUCUGAUCUUACAGAUCCAUGAAGCAUGUGGUUUUAUAAUCAUGGGCUAGAUGUUCACAUGAAACCACUUCACUACUGAAUCAACUACAAUGGAGUCGAAUUUUUGAUGGAUUUUUUUCUACAAUUUCUAAAAGUAGUCAGAUGUCACUUCUGGCUGGCGUCAUGUGAACUCGUCUUCUCCGUCUCUGCACACAGACCAGAAUAACACAAGAGCAAAGCUGAACUACAUAAACUGAGGUUUAAAUGGAUUCAUUGUUAAAUCCGAUUCCUAAAGUACAGAUUAAUCUUGAUGCUGAACUUCAUCAUUGAUGGAGUUUCACCCUGAGGAACAUGACUCGUGUUUGAUUUCCAUCUUCUCAGUGGGUUUUCACUGCUAACCCUUCCCACGACGAGCAGGUCUAUAUGGCCGAUGAGCGUUCAGCGCCCGCAUGCUUCCAGCUAAAGAUGGUGACGUUUGGCUCGAACCCUCUCAAAACUCCAUGAUGGCCAACCCGAGGAAGAUGGACCUGAUCAUCCCACGCUUUUAUGAUGUGCCGUGCGACAGUAAUGGCCAGCGCAUGUGGUGGGCCUUCCUCGCCUCAUCCAUGGUCACGUUCUUUGGUGGUCUCUUCAUCAUCCUGCUGUGGAGGACGAUGCGGUAUCUGUGGACCGUGUGUUGCCACUGCAACCCAAAAAAAAAGGAUGUUCAGAGGGUCAGCAGCGUGGAGAAGAAGGACAGUACAGUGGUCAGUGAGGUGGGCUGGAUGACCUCGGUGAAGGACUGGGCCGGGGUCAUGAUCUCCGCACAGACGCUCACCGGACGUGUGCUGGUGGUGCUGGUGUUUGUCCUCAGUAUUGCGGCACUCGUCAUUUACUUCAUCGACUCCUCCAAUCCGAUUGAGUCGUGUCAGCACUUUGAUAAAGAUUUCACACUGCAGAUAGACAUGGGCUUCAACAUCUUCUUCCUGCUCUACUUUGGACUGCGUUUCAUCGCAGCGAAUGAUAAGCUGUGGUUCUGGUUGGAGGUGAACUCGGUGGUGGAUUUCUUCACCGUGCCGCCAGUGUUUGUGUCUGUGUAUCUGAACAGGAGCUGGCUGGGUCUGAGGUUUCUAAGAGCCUUACGGUUGAUUCAGUUCUCUGAAAUAUUACAGUUUCUAAACAUCCUUAAAACCAGCAACUCAAUAAAGUUGGUGAACUUGUGCUCCAUCUUUAUUAGCACAUGGCUAACGGCUGCAGGCUUCAUCCACCUGGUGGAAAAUUCAGGCGAUCCAUGGGAAAACUUUCAGAACUUCCAGCAACUGUCCUACUGGGAGUGUGUGUAUUUACUGAUGGUGACGAUGUCCACCGUGGGAUACGGAGACGUGUACGCUAAAACCACGCUGGGGCGCCUCUUCAUGGUCUUCUUUAUCCUCGGUGGACUGGCCAUGUUUGCCAGCUACGUGCCUGAAAUCAUAGAAUUAAUAGGAAACCGUAAGAAAUAUGGCGGUUCCUAUAGUGCAGUAAAUGGGAGAAAGCACAUUGUGGUGUGUGGUCACAUCACUCUGGAAAGUGUUUCUAACUUCCUCAAAGACUUCCUUCACAAGGACAGGGACGAUGUCAAUGUAGAAAUUGUUUUUCUCCAUAAUAUUUCCCCUAAUCUUGAGUUGGAAGCCUUGUUUAAGCGCCACUUCACUCAGGUAGAGUUCUACCAGGGUUCCGUCCUAAAUCCACAUGAUCUGGCCCGAGUCAAGAUCGAGUCAGCAGACGCAUGUUUAAUUUUAGCUAAUAAAUACUGCCCAGACCCCGACGCUGAGGACGCGUCCAACAUCAUGAGAGUGAUAUCUAUAAAAAACUACCACCCGAAGAUCCGCGUCAUCACACAGAUGCUGCAGUACCACAAUAAGGCUCACUUGUUGAACAUUCCGAGCUGGAACUGGAAGGAAGGUGAUGAUGCGAUUUGUCUGGCGGAGCUGAAGCUGGGAUUCAUCGCUCAGAGCUGCCUAGCGCAGGGGCUCUCCACCAUGCUGGCUAAUCUCUUCUCCAUGAGGUCUUUCAUUAAGAUUGAAGAGGACACGUGGCAGAAGUAUUACCUGGAAGGAGUAGCUAAUGAAAUGUACACUGAGUACCUGUCCAGUGCCUUUGUGGGUUUAUCCUUCCCCAUGGUGUGUGAGUUAUGUUACGUGAAGCUGAAGCUCCUCCUGAUAGCCAUCGAGCAUAAAACUGAUCAGAGAGAGAGCAGUACACUCAUUAACCCAGGCAAUCAUGUGAAGAUGCAGGAAGGAACUCUGGGUUUCUUUAUUGCUAGUGAUGCCAAAGAAGUAAAGAGAGCUCUUUACUACUGCAAAGCUUGUCAUGAUGACAUCACAGACCCGAAAAGGAUAAAGAAGUGCGGAUGCAAACGACCCAAGAUGACAGGCAGCCGCCGAAUGCGACUAGUGUGUUGUUUAUGUUGCGGCGAGGCUGAGCACGGCUGCUCGUGCACAUCUCGCAGCACACGUAGUAAUGUGGAGACUCCUCCGUGUGCCCUUCCUCUUUCUCCCGCCUCUGUUAGUGAUAAGUUGGCCGCUUUACGUUCCUCUAAAAGUAACUAUAACGGAUAUAUCAAAUCGACGAUGGACGCCCCGGUGGUGCAGCAGUCCACUCUGUCACCUAAGAAAAAACCACGCAAUGGAGGAAUGAGAACUUCACCAAACUGCUCUCCAAAAACGAUACGACUCUUGUCAAUGUCCAGACACGACCCUGUGCUGAUCCCCAGCCACGAUCAGAUGGAGACGAUGGACGAUAACGUGAAGAGGUACGACUCCACCGGAAUGUUCCACUGGUGUCCAUCAAGAGACAUUGAGAGGGUCGUACUGACUCGUAGUGAAGCAGCCAUGACGGUUCUAAGCGGCCAUGUGGUAGUGUGUAUUUUCGGUGAUGUGAAGUCCGCUGUGGUGGGUCUGAGGAACCUGGUGAUGCCUCUGAGAGCGAGUAACUUCCACUACCAUGAGCUAAAACACAUCGUGUUUGUGGGAUCACUGGAGUACUUGAAGAGGGAGUGGGAGACAUUACACAACUUCCCUAAAGUCUCCAUAUUACCUGGCACUCCUCUGAGCAGAGCAGAUCUGAGAGCCGUCAACAUUAACCUGUGUGACAUGUGUGUGAUUCUGUCGGCCAAUCAGAACAACAUCGACGAUGCGUCUCUGCAGGAUAAAGAGUGUAUUCUCGCUUCGCUCAACAUCAAAUCCAUGCAGUUUGAUGACAGUAUAGGUCUUCUACAGGCUAACUCACAGGGUUUCACUCCACCUGGGAUGGACCGCUCGUCUCCUGAAAACAGUCCUGUUCAUGGUCUGGAGCGACAAACUUCCAUCAGCACUGGAGCUAACAUCCCCAUUAUCACUGAGCUUGCUAAAUCAGACAGGCUGCUGAACGCAGUGUGUGUAAGACAGGACAAAAGUUGCGGAACCAACAUUCCAAUGAUUACUGAACUGGUAAAUGACUCAAAUGUUCAGUUCCUGGAUCAGGAUGAUGACGAUGAUCCAGACACUGAGCUCUACCUCACACAGCCCUUCGCCUGUGGAACUGCCUUCGCCGUCAGCGUGCUUGACUCCCUAAUGAGUGCCACCUACUUUAAUGACAAUAUCCUGACGUUAAUAAGGACGUUAGUGACAGGUGGAGCCACGCCCGAGCUUGAAGGUUUGUUAGCGGAGGAGAACGCACUACGUGGUGGCUACAGCGACACACACACACUAGCCAACAGGGACCGGUGUCGAGUGGCACAGCUGGCCCUGUACGAUGGGCCAUUCGCCCAGCUCGGGGAAGGUGGGUGUUACGGUGAUUUAUUCUGUAAAGCGUUAAAGACCUACAACAUGCUGUGUUUCGGGAUUUACCGUUUAAGGGAUGCUCACCUGGACGCACCAAGUCAGUGCACCAAACGCUAUGUGAUCACCAAUCCUCCGUACGAGUUCGAGCUGGUCCCCACAGACCUGAUCUUCUGUUUGAUGCAGUUUGAUCACAAUGCAGCUCACUGUCGCUCCACGCUCUCACACUCCUCACACUCCUCACACUCGUCCAGUAAAAAAAGCUCCUCUGUGCACUCCAUCAGCACCAAACACGCCAAGACCCGAGAGCCACGAGACAAACCCAAUUGCUGAGCGAAUGUGGACUGUGUCUAUGUGCACCGUGGAUGAGUUGAGAGGUCACAGGCCCAGUCCAGGUGUGCGCUCAUUCCACCAAUCAAACCCAAGAGGAAGUGAAGUGAGAGAGGACCAAUCACGGAGCAGGAAAUGUCUGGAGUUCCAGACCAGAGAUGAGCUGCUUUGAGUGUGAGAUCAUGAAGUCACAACCUGGCAAUAAUGAAUCAUCAUCAUUCCCUUUGAGCUGUGAGCAGUUAUUAGUCACCUGACUGCUGGACAUCAUCAUCAUCAUCAUCACCACACAAACACAGAUACAUUCUCAGGCUUUUACUGACCCAAUGUACAGAUGUUAAAAUGUGCUGUUAUUGUAAAAAGGGGCGUGGUCAAUUAAUAUAUUUCUUUUCUUGACCAUUGUGAAGUGUGUAACCUGACAAAGAGGUGUGUUAUUGUAAAAAGGGGUGUGGCUAAUUAAAUUGCAGGGUUUUCUUGAGCAUGUUAAGUGUCAGUUUAGUCAGUAAGCUAAUGUGUGGUGUUAGAGUAUAAAGGGGCGUGGCUUAGUGUCACAACAAAUCCUCCUGCUCUUCUCACAUAUCCAACUCAGGGUCAGACAUACUGUACAUCUGAGAUGUACG